rnacentral:rRNA from 1 species
CAGUAGCCGCGGUAAUACGUAGGGUGCGAGCGUUGUCCGGAAUUAUUGGGCGUAAAGAGCUUGUAGGCGGUCUGUCGCGUCCGCUGUGAAAACCCGAGGCUCAACCUCGGGCCUGCAGUGGGUACGGGCAGACUAGAGUGCGGUAGGGGAGAACGGAACUCCUGGUGUAGCGGUGGAAUGCGCAGAUAUCAGGAAGAACACCGAUGGCGAAGGCAGUUCUCUGGGCCGUAACUGACGCUGAGAAGCGAAAGCGUGGGGAGCGAACAGGAUUAGAUACCCCUGUAGUCCCUGUCUCUUAUAC